rnacentral:rRNA from 1 species
GACGAACGCUGGCGGCGUGCUUAACACAUGCAAGUCGAACGGAAAGGCCUGCUUUCCCUUGUGGAUUGCGGGUACUCGAGUGGCGAACGGGUGAGUAACACGUGAGUGAUCUGCCCCCAACUUGGGUAUAAGCCUGGGAAACUGGGUCUCAUUCCCGAUAGGACUGCAGGGUGGUGCCUGUGGUGGAAAACGAUUUUCUAGUGGUUGGGGAUGAGCUCGCGGCCUAUCAGCUUGUUGGUGGGGUAAUGGCCUACCAAGGCGGCGACGGGUAGCCGGCCUGAGAGGGUGGACGGCCACAUUGGGACUGGGACACGGCCCAGACGCCUACGGGAGGCAGGAGUGGGGAAUAUUGCACAAUGGGCGGAAGCCUGAUGCAGCGCCGCCGCGUGGGGGAUGACGGCCUUCGGGUGGUAAACUCCUUUCGACCGCGAGGAAGCCACCUGGUUGGAAGGGUGGUGACGGUAGUGGUAGAAGAAGCACCGGCUAACUACGUG